rnacentral:rRNA from 1 species
AGAGUUUGAUCCUGGCUCAGGAUGAACGCUGGCGGCGUGCCUAAUACAUGCAAGUCGAACGAGGUGCUUUUGUAGCAAUACGAGAGUAUCCUAGUGGCGAACGGGUGAGUAACGCGUUGGUGACCUACCCCAAAGUGUGGGAUAACAGUCCGAAAGGAUUGCUAAUACCGCAUGUGGUUAUUGGAUCUAGAAACCGAUAACUAAAGGAGCAAUUCGCUUUGGGAGGGACCUGCGUCCCAUCAGCUAGUUGGUGAGGUAACGGCUCACCAAGGCGACGACGGGUAGGGGACCUGAGAGGGUGGCCCCCCACAAUGGAACUGAAGCACGGUCCAUACACCUACGGGUGGCAGCAGUAGGGAAUAUUGGUCAAUGGGCGAAAGCCUGAACCAGCAACGCCGCGUGUGCGAUGAAGGCCUUCGGGUCGUAAAGCACUUUUCUGGGAGAUGAGAAAGGACAGUAUCCCAGGAAUAAGUCUCGGCUAACUACGUGCCAGCAGCCGCGGUAAAACGUAGGAGGCGAGCGUUAUCCGGAUUCACUGGGCGUAAAGCGCGUGCAGGUGGCUUGGUAAGUUAGGCGUGAAAUCUCCCGGCUCAACUGGGAGAGGUCGUCUAAUACUACCGGGCUUGAGAGCAGAAGAGGAAGAUGGAAUUCCCGGUGUAGUGGUGAAAUGCGUAGAUAUCGGGAGGAACACCAGUGGCGAAGGCGAUCUUCUGGUCUGUUUCUGACACUCAGACGCGACAGCUAGGGUAGUAAACGGGAUUAGAGACCCCGGUAAUCCUAGCCGUAAACGAUGUGAACUUGGCGUUGGUGGGUUAAACUCCAUCAGUGCCGCAGCAAACGCGAUAAGUUCACCGCCUGGGGACUACGGCCGCAAGGUUAAAACUCAAAGGAAUUGACGG